UUUCUAUAUAUAAAUUCUAAAUUUUACUCCCCGUAUAGUACAGAGGCAGGCAGUCGAGGGCAGAGGAAGCAGGCAGAGAGAGGGAGACAAGGAAAAGGAAAGAGAACGUGGAGAGAGACGGCGUGAGGAGGCGAAAGCGAGCGCCAGGGAACCGGAGGCCCAAUGGACGCCGGGUCUGCGGGCCCAGCCACCCUCGGAACCUGGACCGUGAGUCGUGGGCACCAGAAGCGAGAUUUGGCCAAGUCCUUCCCCACCAGACAGGGAUUGAGAAACGGAAAUACCACCAUCCUCCAGCCAAACUUGUGAGGACUGAUUGCUCCAGAUGUUGCACUAGAGGCGCAGCGAGUGUGAGCAGGUGGCAGUGGGCCUACAUCAUGGGUUGUAGCAGAUGUUCUCAACAUUUCUAUUGAAACUUCUUUAUAGUCCCUUGAAAGAGGAGCCCAAGAGCCUCAUCUGUGUGGUAGCUACCAUGCUCUGGUAUGAUGCUAUGCUUCUCUACUUCAUCCUUCCUGUUCUAGCAGAGGUCUAGGUUAGAAUUCAGCUGUUUCUUAUUGCAAACAAUUGUGUAGAACUGGAAGUGGAAUGUUUCAAUUAUACUGUUAUUGUGAUUUCUUUGAGAUUGUUGAUAAUACCUUGUUAUUCUUAUACCUGUUAACAGAACCCCCAAAUAGUGAGUGCCUUACUUUUCAUAGAUACUUAACAUUGUGAUUU
rnacentral:lncRNA from 1 species